rnacentral:rRNA from 1 species
UACGUAGGGGGCAAGCGUUGUCCGGAAUCAUUGGGCGUAAAGCGCGUGUAGGCGGCUCGAAAAGUCUGGUGUGAAAUCCUGCGGCUCAACCGCAGACUGUCACUGGAUACUGUUGGACUAGAGUGCAGAAGGGGCAACUGGAAUUCUCGGUGUAGCGGUGAAAUGCGUAGAUAUCGAGAGGAACACCUGCGGCGAAGGCGGGUUGCUGGGCUGACACUGACGCUGAGGCGCGAAAGCUAGGGGAGCGAACGGG